AGUGAACGCUGGCGGUAGGCCUAACACAUGCAAGUCGAACGGCAGCACAGUAAGAGCUUGCUCUUACGGGUGGCGAGUGGCGGACGGGUGAGGAAUACAUCGGAAUCUACUUUUUCGUGGGGGAUAACGUAGGGAAACUUACGCUAAUACCGCAUACGACCUACGGGUGAAAGCAGGGGAUCUUCGGACCUUGCGCGAUUGAAUGAGCCGAUGUCGGAUUAGCUAGUUGGCGGGGUAAAGGCCCACCAAGGCGACGAUCCGUAGCUGGUCUGAGAGGAUGAUCAGCCACACUGGAACUGAGACACGGUCCAGACUCCUACGGGAGGCAGCAGUGGGGAAUAUUGGACAAUGGGCGCAAGCCUGAUCCAGCCAUACCGCGUGGGUGAAGAAGGCCUUCGGGUUGUAAAACCCUUUUGUUGGGAAAGAAAAGCAGCAGGUUAAUACCCCGCUGUUCUGACGGUACCCAAAGAAUAAGCACCGACUAACUUCGUG
rnacentral:rRNA from 1 species